UGGGGAAUAUUGGACAAUGGACCAAGAGUCUGAUCCAGCAAUUCUGUGUGCACGAUGAAGUUUUUCGGAAUGUAAAGUGCUUUCAGUUGGGAAGAAAGAAAUGACGGUACCAACAGAAGAAGUGACGGCUAAAUACGUGCCAGCAGCCGCGGUAAUACGUAUGUCACAAGCGUUAUCCGGAUUUAUUGGGCGUAAAGCGCGUCUAGGUGGUUAUGUAAGUCUGAUGUGAAAAUGCAGGGCUCAACUCUGUAUUGCGUUGGAAACUGUAUAACUAGAGUACUGGAGAGGUAAGCGGAACUACAAGUGUAGAGGUGAAAUUCGUAGAUAUUUGUAGGAAUGCCGAUGGGGAAGCCAGCUUACUGGACAGAUACUGACGCUGAAGCGCGAAAGCGUGGGUAGCAAACAGGAUUAGAUACCCUGGUAGUCCAUGCCGUAACGAUGAUUACUAGGUGUUGGGGGUCGAACCUCAGCGCCCAAGCAAACGCGAUAAGUAAUCCGCCUGGGGAGUACGUACGCAAGUAUG
rnacentral:rRNA from 1 species